rnacentral:rRNA from 1 species
CCCUUAGAUGUUCUGGGCUGCACGCGCGCUACACUGAAGCGUUCAACGAGUAUUCACCUUGCCCGGGAGGGUUGGGUAAUCUUUUGAAAACGCUUCGUGAUGGGGAUAGAUUAUUGCAAUUAUUAAUCUUCAACGAGGAAUUCCUAGUAAGCGCGAGUCAUCAGCUCGUGCUGAUUACGUCCCUGCCCUUUGUACACACCGCCCGUCGCUACUACCGAUUGAAUGGCUGAGUGAGGCCUCCGGACUGGCUCAGGGAGGUCGGCAACGACCACCCAGAGCCGGAAAGCUGGUCAAACUUGGUCAUUUAGAGGAAGUAAAAGUCGCANCA